rnacentral:rRNA from 1 species
UACGGAGGGUGCUAGCGUUGCUCGGAAUUAUUGGGCGUAAAGCGCGCGUAGGCGGCUUGGCAAGUCGGAUGUGAAAUCCCUCGGCUCAACCAAGGAAGUGCAUCCGAAACUGCUGAGCUUGAGUCCUUAAGAGGAUCGCGGAAUUCCCGGUGUAGAGGUGAAAUUCGUAGAUAUCGGGAGGAACACCAGUGGCGAAGGCGGCGAUCUGGGAAGAUACUGACGCUGAGGUGCGAAAGCGUGGGGAGCAAACAGG